rnacentral:tRNA from 1 species
ACUAUAAUAGUUUAACAAAAAAAACAGAGGUUUUGUAAACCUCAAAUGAAUUAUCUUAUAGAA